AACUAAGCAAAUAUAAGCAUACAAUUGCAAAUAUAGGCAGAGAGAGAACCAGAACUCUGACCUGUGCUUGGCAGGAGCAGCAAAGAAGAGGAGUAGUCUAGAGAGUGCAUGGCUUAUUACUUUUUGUUUCGAGGGUAAUGUUGCAACUGUGGGGGUGCCAUAACGGAAGUUAAACAAAAUAUAAAGCCUCCUCUUAUGUAUUAAAAUUACUCUUG